GCCGGCAGCUCGCUCUCUGCAGCUCUCACAUGGUCGCCCACUGAAGCUAAGCAGGGCUGCGCCCGGUCACUACCUGGAUGGGAGACCACAUGGGAAAGCUAGGUUGCUGCCGGAA
rnacentral:rRNA from 1 species